rnacentral:rRNA from 1 species
AUAUCAAUAAGCGGAGGAAAAGAAACCAACAGGGAUUGCCCUAGUAACGGCGAGUGAAGCGGCAACAGCUCAAAUUUGAAAUCUGGCCCCAGGCCCGAGUUGUAAUUUGCAGAGGAUGCUUUUGGCAAAGCGCAUACCGAGUCCCCUGGAACGGGGCGCCACAGAGGGUGAGAGCCCCGUAUGGUACGACGCCGAGCCUCUGUAAAGCUCCUUCGACGAGUCGAGUAGUUUGGGAAUGCUGCUCUAAAUGGGAGGUAAAUUUCUUCUAAAGCUAAAUACCGGCCAGAGACCGAUAGCGCACAAGUAGAGUGAUCGAAAGAUGAAAAGCACUUUGAAAAGAGGGUUAAAUAGCACGUGAAAUUGUUGAAAGGGAAGCGCUCGUGACCAGACUUGCGCCGGGCGGAUCAUCCAGCGUUCUCGCUGGUGCACUCCGCCCGGCUCAGGCCAGCAUCGGUUUUCGCCGGGGGACAAAAGCUUCGGGAACGUGGCUCCCUUCGGGGAGUGUUAUAGCCCGUCGUUUAAUACCCCGGCGGGGACCGAGGACCGCGCUUCGGCAAGGAUGCUGGCGUAAUGGUCAUCAGCGACCCGUCUUGAAACACGGACCGAGGAGUCAAGCAUUAGUGCGAGUGUUUGGGUGUAAAACCCGCACGCGUAAUGAAAGUGAACGUAGGUGAGAGCUUCGGCGCAUCAUCGACCGAUCCUGAUGUUUUCGGAUGGAUUUGAGUAGGAGCAUUAACGCUUGGACCCGAAAGAUGGUGAACUAUACUUGAAUAGGGUGAAGCCAGAGGAAACUCUGGUGGAGGCUCGCAGCGGUUCUGACGUGCAAAUCGAUCGUCUAACACU